rnacentral:rRNA from 1 species
GACGAACGCUGGCGGCGUGCUUAACACAUGCAAGUCGAACGGAAAGGCCCUGCUUUUGUGGGGUACUCGAGUGGCGAACGGGUGAGUAACACGUGAGUAACCUGCCCUUGACUUUGGGAUAACUUCAGGAAACUGGGGCUAAUACCGGAUAGGAGCUCUUGCUGCAUGGUGGGGGUUGGAAAGUUUCGGCGGUUGGGGAUGGACUCGCGGCUUAGCAGCUUGUUGGUGGGGGGGUGGCUUACCAAGGCUUUGACGGGUAGCCGGCCUGAGAGGGUGACCGGCCACAUUGGGACUGAGAUACGGCCCAGACUCCUACGGGAGGCAGCAGUGGGGAAUAUUGCACAAUCGGCGGAAGCCUGAUGCAGCAACGCCGCGUGCGGGAUGACGGUCUUCGGGUUGUAAACCGCUUUCGCCUGUGACGAAGCGUGAGUGACGGUACUGGGUAAAGAAGCACCGGCUAACUACGUG